rnacentral:rRNA from 1 species
GAUUUAGCAUAUCAGUAAGCGGAGGAAAAGAAACUAACGAGGAUUCCUCUAGUAACGGCGAGUGAAGCAGGAUUAGCCCAGCACCGAAUCCCCUCUGCCCUGGCGCGGGGCGGGACAUGUGGUGUGAGUGGGGUCAGCAGCGCUCGCGCGGCCGUCACGGCGCCCAGGUCCUCGUGAUCGUGGCUUUUCGCCCCAUAGAGGGUGUAAGGCCCGUAGAGGCGCCGGACUCGCGUAGCCCGCUGGCUCCAACGGAGUCGGGUUGCUUGAGAUCGCAGCCCAAAGAGGGUGGUAAACUCCAUCUAAGGCUAAAUACUGGACACGAGUCCGAUAGUAGACAAGUACCGCGAGGGAAAGUUGAAAAGAACUUUGAAGAGAGAGUUCAAUAGUACGUGAAACCGCACAGAGUCAAACGGGUGGAGCCGCAAUGUCGCUCGUCCCGGGGCAUUCAGCCUGUUGUUCUCGGCCUUACCGCGCCUCCCCGCCGCCGUCAGGGACCCUCGGGUCCCCAGCACGGCGGGGUCGCCUCGUAUCGGUGGCCGAGACGGGUGCACUUGCUCCGGUCUGUCGAGAGCCACGACCGGUUCCUUCGCAGGCAGUGUGGACUCCGUUUGGUCGGGUUAACGGUCGCUGUUGCAGGUGUGCUCCCCUCGUGGGUGCCGCUUCGCUCGGUGACUCCGACCGGGAGGGAUACUGGCCUGGGGACCGAGGAAACAAAGGCACUGGCCGUCGCCUUCCGCUACUCUCGGGCUGUGCGCCCCUGGUGCUCCCCUCGCGGGAGUGCCAACAGGGGUGCGAGGACGCAUCGGGAGAGAGUCGGGAGGAGGCGUUGCCGACAAAAGUGCUGGUCGGUGGCGGAUUAGGUCGGUACUCCACCCGACCCGUCUUGAAACACGGACCAAGGAGUCCAGCAUGUGCGCGAGUCUAUGGGCCUCGUCGAAACCCUACGGCGCAAUGAAAGUGAAGGCCUAGUCUCUGACUGGCCUAGGCAGGAUCCCGCUGUAGUGGCGGGCGCACUGCCGGCCCGUCCCGAUCGCCUUUGACGACGGGGCGGAGCGAGAGCGCACACGCUGGGACCCGAAAGAUGGUGAACUAUGCUUGAGCAGGACGAAGUCAGGGGAAACUCUGAUGGAGGUCCGCAGCGAUUCUGACGUGCAAAUCGAUCGUCAAACUUGAGUAUAGGGGCGAAAGACUAAUCGAACCAUCUAGUAACUGG